rnacentral:rRNA from 1 species
UACAGAGGGUGCGAGCGUUGUCCGGAAUUACUGGGCGUAAAGCGUGCGUAGGUGGUUUGUUAAGUCUGAUGUGAAAGCCCUGGGCUCAACCUGGGAAUUGCAUUGGAUACUGGCAGGCUAGAGUGCGGUAGAGGAUGGCGGAAUUCCCGGUGUAGCAGUGAAAUGCGUAGAGAUCGGGAGGAACAUCUGUGGCGAAGGCGGCCAUCUGGACCAGCACUGACACUGAGGCACGAAAGCGUGGGGAGCAAACAGG